rnacentral:rRNA from 1 species
AGUGAACGCUGGCGGUAGGCCUAACACAUGCAAGUCGAACGGCAGCACAGUAAGAUCUUGCUCUUACGGGUGGCGGGUGGCGGACGGGUGAGGAAUACAUCGGAAUCUACUUUUUCGUGGGGGAUAACGUAGGGAAACUUACGCUAAUACCGCAUACGACCUACGGUUGAAAGCAGUGGAUCUUCGGACCUUGCGCGAUUGAAUGAGCCGAUGUCGGAUUAGCUAGUUGGCGGGGUAAAGGCCCACCAAGGCGACGAUGCGUAGCGGGUCUGAGAGGAUGAUCAGCCACACUGGAACUGAGACACGGUCCAGACUCCUACGGGAGGCAGCAGUGGGGAAUAUUGGACAAUGGGCGCAAGCCUGAUCCAGCCAUACCGCGUGGGUGAAGAAGGCCUUCGGGUUGUAAAGCCCUUUUGUUGGGAAAGAAAAGCAGUAGGUUAAUACCCCGCUGUUCUGACGGUACCCAAAGAAUAAGCACCGGCUAACUUCGUG